AGAAUCAACGCUGGCGGCGUGCCUAACACAUGCAAGUCGAACGAGAAGGUGGUAGCAAUACCAUGAGUAAAGUGGCGCACGGGUGAGUAACACGUGACUAACCUACCCUUGAGUGGGGGAUAACUGAGGGAAACCUUAGCUAAUACCGCAUAAUACCCACGGGUCAAAGGAGCAAUUCGCUCGAGGAGGGGGUCGCGGCCGAUUAGUUAGUUGGCGUGGUAAUGGCCCACCAAGACGAUGAUCGGUA
rnacentral:rRNA from 1 species